GUCUACAGCCAUGCCACCCUGAAAGUGCCCGAUCUCAUCUGAUCUCAGAAGCUAAGCAGGGUCAGUCCUGGUUAGUACUUGGAUGGGAGACCACCUGGGAAGACCAGGUGCUGUAGGCA
rnacentral:rRNA from 1 species